rnacentral:lncRNA from 1 species
ACCAGUUCACAAACCACCAAAGCAUUCUCCUACUCCUAAACCACCAGUUCAUAAACCACCAAGAUAUCCUCCUAAACCAUCACCUUGUCCACCCCCAUCAUCAACACCAAAACCACCUCAUCAUCCCAAACCCCCAGCAGUACACCCACCACAUGUUCCAAAACCACAUCCACCUUAUGUUCCAAAACCACCAAUUGUUAAACCUCCAAUAGUACAUCCACCUUACGUACCAAAACCCCCAGUUGUGAAACCACCACCAUAUGUCCCUAAACCACCUGUUGUGAGACCACCCUAUGUUCCUAAACCACCAGUUGUACCUGUAACACCACCUUAUGUUCCUAAGCCACCAAUUGUUUUCCCACCACAUGUUCCUCUACCUCCAGUUGUACCAUCACCACCACCUUAUGUACCAACACCUCCAAUUGUGAAACCACCAAUUGUUUUUCCACCACAUGUUCCUCUACCUCCAGUUGUGCCUGUAACACCACCUUAUGUGCAACCACCACCUAUUGUAACUCCACCAACACCAACACCUCCAAUUGUGACACCACCAACACCACCUAGUGAAACACCUUGUCCUCCACCACCACUUGUACCUUAUCCACCACCACCAGCACAACAAACAUGUUCCAUUGAUGCUUUGAAGUUGGGUGCAUGUGUUGAUGUGCUUGGUGGACUCAUACAUAUUGGUAUAGGUGGAAGUG